rnacentral:rRNA from 1 species
ACGGAGGGUGCAAGCGUUAUCCGGAAUCACUGGGUUUAAAGGGUGCGUAGGCGGCUUGGUAAGUCAGAAGUGAAAGCUCACCGCUUAACGGUGGAACUGCUUUUGAUACUGCCAGGCUUGGAUCGGCACGAGGCAGGCGGAAUGUGGCAUGUAGCGGUGAAAUGCUUAGAUAUGCCAUAGAACACCGAUUGCGUAGGCAGCUUGCCAGAGCCGUAUCGACGCUGAGGCACGAAAGCGUGGGGAGCGAACAGG